rnacentral:rRNA from 1 species
UACGGAGGGUGCAAGCGUUGUCCGGAUUUAUUGGGUUUAAAGGGUGCGUAGGCGGCCUAUUAAGUCAGUGGUGAAAGGUAUCAGCUUAACUGAUGACGUGCCAUUGAAACUGACAGGCUUGAGUACAGACGAGGUAGGCGGAAUUUAUGGUGUAGCGGUGAAAUGCAUAGAUACCAUAAAGAACACCAAUUGCGAAGGCAGCUUACUAGACUGUAACUGACGCUGAGGCACGAAAGCGUGGGGAGCGAACAGGAUUAGAUACCCUCGUA